GGGAGUGCUCGAAAGAGAACCAGUACACAGGUGCUGCAUGGCUGUCGUCAGCUCGUGUCGUGAGAUGUUGGGUUAAGUCCCGCAACGAGCGCAACCCUUGUCAUUAGUUGCUACGCAAGAGCACUCUAAUGAGACUGCCGGUGACAAACCGGAGGAAGGUGGGGAUGACGUCAAGUCUUCAUGGCCCUUAUGGGUAGGGCUUCACACGUCAUACAAUGGUACAUACAGAGGGCCGCCAACCCGCGAGGGGGAGCUAAUCCCAGAA
rnacentral:rRNA from 1 species